rnacentral:lncRNA from 1 species
CCAUAGAGCACUCCAAUUUUGAGUCACCAUCGAAUUGAAAAUCUUACAUAGAUCACUGGAUGCAGGAGGACAUAUAGGAGGCCCUCUGCGACCAGUGGAGUACGAAGGGGUACUCUAAUAGGCGGCAGAGGGCACGAUAGAAUUGAUCCACCUAACAGCAUCCGAUCAAGCAUACUGACGGCUCCAUUGGUACACAUAUUAUGAUCGAUAGAUUGAUAAAAAUUUUAUACUUAAAUUAAUUUUAUAUUGAAUUAAUCAUAUAUAUAGUUUAAUUAAUUUAAUUUUAUUAUUUAUUUAUUAUAGAUAUGGCAGUUGGAUCGUGCACUAGGGCAGCUGUAGAU